rnacentral:rRNA from 1 species
UGGGGAAUUUUGGACAAUGGGGGAAACCCUGAUCCAGCCAUCCCGCGUGUGCGAUGAAGGCCUUCGGGUUGUAAAGCACUUUUGGCAGGAAAGAAACGUCGCGGGUUAAUACCCCGCGAAACUGACGGUACCUGCAGAAUAAGCACCGGCUAACUACGUGCCAGCAGCCGCGGUAAUACGUAGGGUGCAAGCGUUAAUCGGAAUUACUGGGCGUAAAGCGUGCGCAGGCGGUCCGGAAAGAAAGAUGUGAAAUCCCAGAGCUUAACUUUGGAACUGCAUUUUUAACUACCGGGCUAGAGUGUGUCAGAGGGAGGUGGAAUUCCGCGUGUAGCAGUGAAAUGCGUAGAUAUGCGGAGGAACACCGAUGGCGAAGGCAGCCUCCUGGGAUAACACUGACGCUCAUGCACGAAAGCGUGGGGAGCAAACAGGAUUAGAUACCCUGGUAGUCCACGCCCUAAACGAUGUCAACUAGCUGUUGGGGCCUUCGGGCCUUGGUAGCGCAGCUAACGCGUGAAGUUGACCGCCUGGGGAGUACGGUCGCAAGAUUAAAACUCAAAUGAAUUGAC